AGACCGCGGAGGGUACUGGUUACAGCCUAUCCACGCCUCAGGAUAGAGACUGCAGAAAAUUGUGAAAUUUCCGGAUGAAAAUUGAGUGAUCUUAAACCUGCCCCAUUCGUUGAAAAUCUACCUUAGGCUUCCCUGGUGGCACAGUGGUUAAGAAUCCGCCUGCCAAUGCAGGGAACAUGGGUUCGAGCCCUGGUCUGGGAAGAUCCCACAUGCCGAGGAGCAGCUAAGCCUGUGCGACACAACUACAGAGCCUGCGCUCUAGAGCCCACGAGCCACAACUACUGAGCCCACGUGCCAGAACUACUGAAGCCCACAUGCCUAGAGCCCAUGCUCUGCAACAAGAGAAGCCAUUGCAAUGAGAAGCACAUGCACCACAACGAAGAGUAGCCCCCGCUCGCCGCAACUACAGAAAGCCCAUGCACAUCAAUGAAGACCCAACACAGCCAUAAAUAAAUAAAAAAAAAGCAUACCUUGGAGACUGUGGCUUCAGUCCAGACCACUGUAAUAAAGCAAAUAUCACAAUAAAGCAAAUCACAUGAA